rnacentral:rRNA from 1 species
UACGUAGGGACCAAGCGUUGUUCGGAUUUACUGGGCGUAAAGGGUGCGUAGGUGGCGUCGUAAGUCGGGUGUGAAAUCUCGGGGCUUAACUCCGAAACUGCAUUCGAUACUGCGGUGCUUGAGGACUGGAGAGGAGACUGGAAUUUACGGUGUAGCAGUGAAAUGCGUAGAUAUCGUGAGGAAGACCAGUUGCGAAGGCGGAUCUCUGGGCAGUUCCUGACACUGAGGCACGAAGGCCAGGGGAGCAAACGGG